AGUGAACGCUGGCGGUAGGCCUAACACAUGCGAGUCGAACGGCAGCACAGUAAGAGCUUGCUCUUACGGGUGGCGAGUGGCGGACGGGUGAGGAAUACAUCGGAAUCUACUUUUUCGUGGGGGAUAACGUAGGGAAACUUACGCUAAUACCGCAUACGACCUACGGGUGAAAGCAGGGGAUCUUCGGACCUUGCGCGAUUGAAUGAGCCGAUGUCGGAUUAGCUAGUUGGCGGGGUAAAGGCCCACCAAGGCGACGAGCCGUAGCUGGUCUGAGAGGAUGAUCAGCCACACUGGAACUGAGACACGGUCCAGACUCCUACGGGAGGCAGCAGUGGGGAAUAUUGGACAAUGGGCGCAAGCCUGAUCCAGCCAUACCGCGUGGGUGAAGAAGGCCUUCGGGUUGUAAAGCCCUUUUGUUGGGAAAGAAAAGCAGCAGGUUAAUACCCCGCUGUUCUGACGGUACCCAAAGAAUAAGCACCGGCUAACUUCGUG
rnacentral:rRNA from 1 species